rnacentral:rRNA from 1 species
UACGGGGGGGGCAAGCGUUGUUCGGAAUUACUGGGCGUAAAGGGCUCGUAGGUGGCCAACUAAGUCAGACGUGAAAUCCCUCAGCUUAACUGGGGAACUGCGUCUGAUACUGGAUGGCUUGAGUUUGGGAGAGGGAUGCGGAAUUCCAGGUGUAGCGGUGAAAUGCGUAGAUAUCGGGAGGAACACCAGUGGCGAAGGCGACUUCCUGGCCUGUUCUUGACGCUGAGGCGCGAAAGCUAGGGUAGCAAACGGG